rnacentral:rRNA from 1 species
UACGUAGGGUGCGAGCGUUAAUCGGAAUUACUGGGCGUAAAGCGUGCGUAGGCGGUUCGUUAAGUUCGUUGUGAAAGCCCCGGGCUCAACCUGGGAAUGGCAAUGGAAACUGGCGGGCUUGAGUAUGGCAGAGGGGGGUGGAAUUCCGCGUGUAGCAGUGAAAUGCGUAGAGAUGCGGAGGAACACCGAUGGCGAAGGCAGCCCCCUGGGCCAAUACUGACGCUGAGGAGCGAAAGCGUGGGGAGCGGACAGG